CUGGCCAUCUGGCAGACCGGGCAGUUUCCCGGUGGGCCGACGUACUUUUUGGGCCGAUCCAUCUCAUACUAUUUUUGUCUGAGCAGCCCAGUUAGCGUCUUUUUUUCCUAGACAGACCGGCCCACUGACAUUUAAGCAGCAGCCCAUUGGUUAUUUUUUUUAAACGACAUUAAGCUGGCCCAAUGACGGACCAGCCCAGUCAUCGUCCUUUUUUAACCCUAAAUAGACCGGCCCACUCACAUUUAAGCAGCAGCCAAUUGGCUAUUUUUUUAAUGACAUAAAGCUGGCCCAAUCACCGCUUUGGUCUCUGUGCAAGCGAGCGUGCAACGUCGGUCAGUUCACGUGUCAAAAUAGAGAGAGAGAGAUGGAGAAAAAACUCAAGGGAGGUGCAGAAAAACUGCGCGACAAAAAGAAACAGACUCUUCAGGCAGACACUGGAAAAUAACACAACUGUUUUCUUCAAAUCGCGUCGCUGGUGAUGAUGAUGAUGGUGGUGCGUGGCACUGGCAGCACCAGCACGCUAAAUGUUGUGAGGAGAGGGAGAGAGAGACGAGGGAGAAGUGAGUUGCGGUUUGAAAGAAGAAGCCCGAUUACCCUGAAAUUUUCACUGGACCCUCAAGAAAAUACUUCAGGCCACAUUUUGAUGUUUUAUUAAGUUCUAAAUUUGCGGUUGUGAGUGUGGUAAAAAGCAGUUAUAUUAUUAAAGCAUGUAACGGUGUUCUCAAUAAAUGAACUUAUGAA